rnacentral:rRNA from 1 species
AUUGAACGCUGGCGGCAGGCCUAACACAUGCAAGUCGAACGGUAACAGGAAGCAGCUUGCUGCUUCGCUGACGAGUGGCGGACGGGUGAGUAAUGUCUGGGAAACUGCCUGAUGGAGGGGGAUAACUACUGGAAACGGUAGCUAAUACCGCAUAACGUCGCAAGACCAAAGAGGGGGACCUUAGGGCCUCUUGCCAUCGGAUGUGCCCAGAUGGGUUUAGCUAGUAGGUGGGGUAACGGCUCACCUAGGCGACGAUCCCUAGCGGGUCUGAGAGGAUGACCAGCCACACUGGAACUGAGACACGGUCCAGACUCCUACGGGAGGCAGCAGUGGGGAAUAUUGCACAAUGGGCGCAAGCCUGAUGCAGCCAUGCCGCGUGUAUGAAGAAGGCCUUCGGGUUGUAAAGUACUUUCAGCGGGGAGGAAGGGAGUAAAGUUAAUACCUUUGCUCAUUGACGUUACCCGCAGAAGAAGCACCGGCUAACUCCGUG